GAAUGAUUGAAUGAUUGAAUGAUUGAAUGAUUGAAUGCCAUUUCUACCCCUUAUCUUGAAAAGAAGAUAACAUGGGGUAUUGUAUCUAGCGGUAUUCAAUCAAUGGUUAAUGAUGCGUUAUUUAUUUUUUAAUGAUGCACUUUAUUUUAUGAAAUGUUUUAUUUGAUGAUGCGUUUUAUCUUAAUUUAUUUAAGACUUUAUUUAAGGCUUUAUUUAUUCAAAGCUUUAUUUAUUCAAAGCUUUAUUUAUUCAAAGCUUUAUUUAUUCAAAGCUUUAUUUAUAUUCAAAGCUUUAUUUAUAUUCAAAGCUUUAUUUAUAUUCAAAGCUUUAUUUUUUACCCCCCAUUCCCAUCAUUUCCAAUCAUUUCCAAAUAACUUUCAUUCAUUUCUUUCAAACUCUAAAUUUUCUUUCAAACUCUCAAAAAUUUAAGCAAGCUUUAAGCAUUGGAUGUCUAUAAUUACAUUUCGUUUUUAAAGACAAGCUUUAAAAAGUUCUUUAAUUUGAAACCACUCAAGCGAGUUCUAAAAGCUAAAAGCUUUAAAUAUAAAAAAAUAUAAAAGCCCACCAGCUAGUAAAACUUGAGCGUUAAAAAAGAUUAGGGAUCAAGCAUUUUUAGUCUUCUUUAAAGGGUUUAACAGAGCGAUUAUAGCAAGUUUUUAAAGAAAAACGAAGUUAUUUGAUUUAACAUUGUUAAUAGCCUAUGUAAAAGUAAAGUAAAACUACAAUAACUCUGUCUUAUAUUCAUUAAGGCAGUGGUAGCGCUGAAGAAUAUUCGUGCAAUUGUCGUUAUUCAUUAUAAAAGGGCGGGUUUUAAAGGAUAUUUUAAAAUUUAAAACAAGCUUUUAAGAGCAGAUGGCGGAUGCCUUGCCAAAGAGAGGCGAUGAAGGACGUACUAGACUGCGAUAAGCUAUGCGGAGCUGUCAAGGAGCUUUGAUGCGUAGAUGUCCGAAUGGGGCAACCCAACUAAUAGAGAUAUUAGUUACUCUUUAAUAGAGAGCGAACCUAGUGAAGUGAAACAUCUCAGUAACUAGAGGAAAAGAAAUCAACGAGAUUCCCUAAGUAGUGGCGAGCGAACGGGGAAAAGGGCAAACCGAGUGCUUGCAUUCGGGGUUGAGGACUGCAACAUCCAAGAGAACGCUUUAGCAGAGUUACCUGGAAAGGUAAGCCAUAGAAAGUGAUAGCCUUGUAUGCGACAAGGCGUUCUUAGGUAGCAGUAUCCAGAGUAGGCCAGGACACGAGGAAUCCAGGUUGAAGCUGGGGAGACCACUCUCCAACCCUAAAUACUACUCUUUGAGCGAUAGCGAACAAGUACCGUGAGGGAAAGGUGAAAAGAACCGCAGUGAGCGGAGUGAAAUAGAACCUGAAACCAUCUGCUUACAAUCAUUCAGAGCCCUAUGAUUUAUCAGGGUGAUGGACUGCCUUUUGCAUAAUGAUCCUGCGAGUUGUGGUAUCUGGCAAGGUUAAGCGAAUGCGAAGCCGUAGCGAAAGCGAGUCUUAAUAGGGCGAACAAGUCAGAUGCUGCAGACCCGAAGCUAAGUGAUCUAUCCAUGGCCAAGUUGAAACGCGUGUAAUAGCGCGUGGAGGACUGAACUCGUACCCAUUGAAACGGGUUGGGAUGAGCUGUGGAUAGGGGUGAAAGGUCAAACAAACUUAGUGAUAGCUGGUUCUCUUCGAAAUAUAUUUAGGUAUAGCCUCAAGUGAUAAUAAAAGGGGGUAGAGCCCUGAUUGGGCUAGGGCUGCUCGCCGCGGUACAAACCCUAUCAAACUUCGAAUACCUUUUAUCGUAUCUUGGGAGUCAGGCGGUGGGUGAUAAAAUCAAUCGUCAAAAGGGGAACAACCCAGACUACCAAAUAAGGUCCCUAAGUUCUAUUCUGAGUGGAAAAAGAUGUGUGGCUACUCAAACAACCAGGAGGUUGGCUUAGAAGCAGCCAUCCUUUAAAGAAAGCGUAACAGCUCACUGGUCUAGUGGUCAUGCGCUGAAAAUAUAACGGGGCUAAGAUAGACACCGAAUUUGUAGAUUGUGUUAAACACAGUGGUAGAAGAGCGUUCAUACCAGCGUUGAAGGUAUACCGGUAAGGAGUGCUGGAGCGGUAUGAAGUGAGCAUGCAGGAAUGAGUAACGAUAAGAUAUAUGAGAAUUGUAUCCGCCGUAAAUCUAAGGUUUCCUACGCGAUGGUCGUCAUCGUAGGGUUAGUCGGGUCCUAAGCCGAGUCCGAAAGGGGUAGGUGAUGGCAAAUUGGUUAAUAUUCCAAUACCGACUCAUGGAGCGUGAUGGGGGGACGCAUAGGGUUAAGCGAGCUAGCUGAUGGAAGCGCUAGUCUAAGGGCGUAGAUUGGAGGGAAGGCAAAUCCACCUCUGUAUUUGAAACCCAAACAGGCUCUUUGAGUCCUUUUAGGACAAAGGGAGAAUCGCUGAUACCGUCGUGCCAAGAAAAGCCUCUAAGCAUAUCCAUAGUCGUCCGUACCGCAAACCGACACAGGUAGAUGAGAUGAGUAUUCUAA
rnacentral:rRNA from 1 species